rnacentral:rRNA from 1 species
AGGCCUUGCGCUGAUUGAGCGGCCGAUAUCAGAUUAGCUAGUUGGUGAGGUAAAAGCUCACCAAGGCGACGAUCUGUAGCGGGUCCGAGAGGAUGAUCCGCCACACUGGAACUGAGACACGGUCCAGACUCCUACGGGAGGCAGCAGUGGGGAAUUUUGGACAAUGGGGGCAACCCUGAUCCAGCCAUGCCGCGUGAGUGAAGAAGGCCUUCGGGUUGUAAAGCUCUUUCAGCCGGGAAGAAAACGCAUGGGUUAAUACCCUGUGUGGAUGACGGUACCGGAAUAAGAAGCACCGGCUAACUACGUGCCAGCAGCCGCGGUAAUACGUAGGGUGCGAGCGUUAAUCGGAAUUACUGGGCGUAAAGCGUGCGCAGGCGGUUUUGUAAGACAGGCGUGAAAUCCCCGGGCUUAACCUGGGAACUGCGUUUGUGACUGCAAGGCUAGAGUACGGCAGAGGGGGGUGGAAUUCCACGUGUAGCAGUGAAAUGCGUAGAGAUGUGGAGGAACACCAAUGGCGAAGGCAGCCUCCUGGGUCGAUACUGACGCUCAUGCACGAAAGCGUGGGUAGCAAACAGGAUUAGAUACCCUGGUAGUCCACGCCCUAAACGAUGUCAACUAGGUGUUGGGAGGGUAAAACCUUUUAGUACCGGAGCUAACGCGUGAAGUUGACCGCCUGGGGAGUACGGCCGCAAGGUUAAAACUCAAAGGAAUUGACGGGGACCCGCACAAGCGGUGGAUGAUGUGGAUUAAUUCGAUGCAACGCGAAAAACCUUACCUACCCUUGACAUGCCAAGAACUUUCCAGAGAUGGAUUGGUGCCCGAAAGGGAACUUGGACACAGGUGCUGCAUGGCUGUCGUCAGCUCGUGUCGUGAGAUGUUGGGUUAAGUCCCGCAACGAGCGCAACCCUUGUCGUUAAUUGCCAUCAUUUAGUUGGGCACUUUAACGAGACUGCCGGUGACAAACCGGAGGAAGGUGGGGAUGACGUCAAGUCCUCAUGGCCCUUAUGGGUAGGGCUUCACACGUCAUACAAUGGUCGGUACAAAGGGUCGCCAAGCCGCGAGGUGGAGCCAAUCCCAGAAAGCCGAUCGUAGUCCGGAUCGCAGUCUGCAACUCGACUGCGUGAAGUCGGAAUCGCUAGUAAUCGUGGAUCAGCAUGUCACGGUGAAUACGUUCCCGGGUCUUGUACACACCGCCCGUCACACCAUGGGAGCGGGUUCCGCCAGAAGUAGGUAGCCUAACCGCAAGGAGGGCGCUUACCACGGCGGGGUUCGUGACUGGGGUGAAGUCGG